rnacentral:rRNA from 1 species
UACGUAGGGUGCGAGCGUUAAUCGGAAUUACUGGGCGUAAAGCGUGCGCAGGCGGUUUGUAAGCCAGAUGUGAAAUCCCCGAGCUUAACUUGGGAACUGCAUUUGGGACUGCAAGGCUAGAGUACGGCAGAGGGGGGUAGAAUUCCUGGUGUAGCAGUGAAAUGCGUAGAUAUCGGAAGGAACAUCAGUGGCGAAAGCGACUUCCUGGACCAAUACUGACGCUCAUGUGCGAAAGCGUGGGGAGCAAACAGG